GACGAACGCUGGCGGCGUGCUUAACACAUGCAAGUCGAACGGAAAGGCCCUGCUUUUGUGGGGUGCUCGAGUGGCGAACGGGUGAGUAACACGUGAGUAACCUGCCCUUGACUUUGGGAUAACUUCAGGAAACUGGGGCUAAUACCGGAUAGGAGCUCCUGCUGCAUGGGGGGGGUUGGAAAGUUUCGGCGGAUGGGGAUGGACUCGCGGCUUAUCAGCUUGUUGGUGGGGUAGUGGCUUACCAAGGCUUUGACGGGUAGCCGGCCUGAGAGGGUGACCGGCCACAUUGGGACUGCGAUACGGCCCAGACUCCUACGGGAGGCAGCAGUGGGGAAUAUUGCACAAUGGGCGGAAGCCUGAUGCAGCAACGCCGCGUGCUGGAUGACGGCCUUCGGGUUGUAAACCGCUUUCGCCUGUGACGAAGCGUGAGUGACGGUAAUGUGUAAAGAAGCACCGGCUAACUACGUG
rnacentral:rRNA from 1 species